UAGUGGUAGGAAAGUCUAAUUCGAAUUCGAAUUUAAGGUUUAUUGGGUUAACACAAUUGUGCUAGUGUAGUGUUUGGAUUUUUGGAGAAGAUGAUGGGUUUUGUCGCAAAUCGGCGACCAAACUUAUAACAUACCAGAUUUUGGUAUAAAAAUAAUAAUAAAUAAAAAUAGUAUGAGAAACUAUUUUUAUUAGAUUUAUAAAAGUAAAAUAUAAGUCAGAACUGACUUGUGCUGAAAUCGGAAUGAAAACAGAAGAUCUAGAAUUUUCUGUUGAAAGAGGGACAGAUAAAUUAGCAGAAAAUGCACAGUCUCAGAAAAUUAUGAAAAUUGGAGGUAAGUCAGAAAUAUUUUUAUGAAGCUAGAUUUAAAGUUUCAUAUUUUUCUGACACCCAUAGAGUGAGAAAUAAAAUCCGACAGCUAUCUGAUAAAGAUUACAGUUCGGUACAGUUUUCAAUGACCAAACGAAGUCGAAACUGAAAACUUAAGAUAUAUUCUUACUCAGUACGUUAAACCGAGCCUUCCUGUCAAAUUUGAGCCCAAAC
rnacentral:lncRNA from 1 species